rnacentral:siRNA from 1 species
GAGCAAGACGGCUACUUUAGGUA